rnacentral:piRNA from 1 species
CUCGGGAGGCAGAGGCAGGUGGGUCUCUGU